CCUACGGGUGGCAGCAGUGAGGAAUAUUGGUCAAUGGACGAGAGUCUGAACCAGCCAAGUAGCGUGAAGGAUGACUGCCCUAUGGGUUGUAAACUUCUUUUAUAUGGGAAUAAAACGUUCCACGUGUGGGAUUUUGUAUGUACCAUAUGAAUAAGGAUCGGCUAACUCCGUGCCAGCAGCCGCGGUAAUACGGAGGAUCCGAGCGUUAUCCGGAUUUAUUGGGUUUAAAGGGAGCGUAGGUGGAUUGUUAAGUCAGUUGUGAAAGUUUGCGGCGCAACCGUAAAAUUGCAGUUGAAACUGGCAGUCUUGAGUACAGUAGAGGUGGGCGGAAUUCGUGGUGUAGCGGUGAAAUGCUUAGAUAUAUCGAAGAACUCCGAUUGCGAAGGCAGUUCACUGGACUGCAACUGACACUGAGGCUCGAAAGUGUGGGUAUCAAACAGGAUUAGAUACCCCUGUAGUC
rnacentral:rRNA from 1 species